rnacentral:piRNA from 1 species
UGACUCUCAUCAUAGAUCUCAUGGCUGAC